AAAUAUGUACAAAACCAUCCACAUCUUUUAUCGUUUCACCUUUUUUUUUAUGUCCUUCUUUUAAAGUGAUGGUUUUUAUAUAGGCGUCAGCUUUUCUAAUCAUACAAAAGAAUCAGUAGUGUACAGAUUUGUUUUAACUUUUUAUUUUGAGUACAAAAAAUUACAGCUUACGCCUUGAGCAUUUCCGGAUCACUAUAUCGAAUACAAUGCUCCACAACGCGACCUGUAUGAAAAAAAAAUCCUUGCAAAAAAACAGGCGUAGUCUUCAAAGUUUACACUCUAGCGCAUCCGUUGGUAAUCGUGACAAUGGAUUUUCUUUACUAACAAUUGUCUUCAAUAACAUUGGGCCAUUAGAAUUUUCAAAAUUUAAAAAUGUUGCGGUGUCUUGGACGCCAUCCUGAAAAAAUUUGAUUUUAUGUGAAUAUGUUGCAAGCCCUACGCACAUGACGUUUUGAAAUUAAACGUGAAGGUUUAAAACAUUUGAAAAUGGCGUUAAAGUUUUGUCGUUUCCAAAAAUGAAAACAUUUUUAUCUUCUGUUAAACCUACGAAAAUCUACGAACACAUGGCAUGGUAUUGUCAUUACAAAUCAUGCCAACUCAAACGUACAGGUCUACUGAAAGGUAAUACCGAUGAUGCAUGAAUAGUGACUUGCUUUAGUUUCAUAAUUUUUUCAAUUUCUAUACGAAUUAACUCUCGAGGCACAUAUGCAAAAAAUGUGUUUAGGCAUGCCAUCUGGAAAUGUAAAUGGUUAUCAGAUAUUGCAGAUUUAUUUUUCAUAAGAAUCGAAUAAAAAAAAUGACCAUACUCUAUUCUAAUUUAUUGUCUCUUAUAUAAAAAUUAUUUGUCGCUUACUAUUGUGACUCUGUUUUAUCUUAUUAAUAAACUUUAAACAUUUUCUAGAAUUUAUCAUACGUUGUGUUGUUUUUAGUGAAAGUUAUUGUAGUAAAAGCUUAUGCUUGGGUUUAAGUUUCAUUUUUGAUCGAUGUGAUGUUCGGUGACAAAAAUUUUGACCGUGAAUAACAUAAAUGGAACCAUCAAGUGGGAGUAAAACAAACGUGUUUUCAGUUUCUUGAACAACAAAACCCGUCACAUUAACGAAUUGGGGAUUACGACUUUGAAAUACUGCAAGUAGAGCUCCAUGAAGAUCUGCUACAGCAAGCACUUGACAUUUGAUUAAAAUUGUUUCUUUUGGGAGAAUGGAAUGGAUGUAUUGUAACCAUAAGUGAUGAAGAGAUUUUCCUUCAAUCUCAUAACGAAGAUUAUCUUUUUUGAUAUCUAAAAGUCCUUGACGCUUUAGUUGAGAACGGGAUAAAAUUUUUUUUUUUUUAUUGUCAAUUUUGCGUUCACGGUUUUUUUCAACCUCCUUAGGAUUUGUAUACGUAUCUAAUCAAGACGAUAUAAUUUUUCCCGAUAAUUUUUCGUUUAAACUAAAAUACACUGAAUUUUUCUUCUCUUCCAUUAUGCAAAAUCAAAAAUUUGGAUAGCUUAUUUUUAUCAUACCGAGUUUUUUUCAAUAUCUGUACACUUUCUU